rnacentral:lncRNA from 1 species
CUUUUGAAUUACUUCGCAUAUAUAAACUAUUCUUUCAAUUGCUCUCCAACAUAAUACUGCUCAGUUGCAUUUUUUCUUUAACAGUAGUAGCGCUGUGUGAAGCCAUCUCUGCUCAGCUUUGCCUGAUUCGUGUUUCAGGGCUCCAGCUAGGCCAAUAAGAUGAUGGUUUUCUCCUUCCCCUUGUGAUAGAAAGCUGCAGAAUCAUAGGGGUUGGAAUGGAUCAUCUCAUCCAACUCCCUUGCAGGUUGCCUAGAGAAGAUUAAAAGUCACUAGAGUCUUAAAGGGGGACAGUAUAUUCAGCCAUCAUAUGAUGAUGGUUUUUUUACACCCUUGUCCUCUCUGCUUUUUUUGCUGGAGGAAUGGAGAUAACUAAGCUCAGAGCCUGCUGAGAUCUUGUUCUGAUGGUCACGUCCUCAGAGGAGCUGCAGCUGCAUUCCGCCAGCAGCAACAUCCUGUCACCUCAGUUCAGCUGUAUGUUUAGAUGAAUGGCAUUAGGUCAUAUGUCCUCAACUUGUGGAACAAAACACCUUUCCUGUAGUUUGAAGCAGCAGGAGACCAGAUCUACUUACUUGGUAUUAGGGAUACAAAGAAACUUUUUUGUGAGACUGAAUCACCUCAUUUGCCUGUGUCUGAAGGAUGAACCAGCCUGGAAGCAAAGCAGCUUAGGGAGAAAAAAUAGCUCAUUAGCAAAUGCAUUUGAAUGUAUGUUCUUGCAGCUGAUUUAUACUGCAGUAGCCACAGAAAUCUGAAGACAAAAUUCAUGUGCUGACUUUGUUCUUCUUGAGAUCUUUUUACUAACGCUGCCUGUGCAGUGCUUUGUACAAGUUUGUCU